AGAGUUUUAUCCUGGCUCAGNACGAACGCUGGNGGCAGGCUUAACACAUNCAAGUCGCANGAGAACGUUCUGGCUUUGNCAGNACAAGUACAGUGGCGGNCGGGUGGGUAUNGCGUAGAUAACNUGCCCUCAGGCGCGGGACAAUCNCGGGAANCCGUGGNUAAUUCCGCACGUCGUCUGGNCCCCGCAUGGGGACCAGAUGAAAGCCUUCGGGCGCCUUUGGAUGGGUCUGCGUUGGAUUAGCUUGUUGGUGAGGUAACGGCUCACCAAGGCAACGAUCCAUAGCUGGUCUGAGAGGACGAUCAGCCACACUGGGACUGAGACACAGGCCCAGACUCCUACGGGAGGCAGCAGUGGGGAAUCUUGCACAAUGGGGUCACCCCUGAUGCAGCCAUGCCGCGUGGAGGAAGACACCCCUAUGGGGCGUAAACUCCUUUUCUGAAUGAAGAAACCCCUGUAGGUUCAGGGCGCGACGGUAGNUCAGGAAUAAGCACCGGCU
rnacentral:rRNA from 1 species